UACGUAGGGUGCAAGCGUUGGCCGGAAUUAUUGGGCGUAAAGAGCGUGUAGGCGGUCUGGUAGGUCCGUUGUGAAAACUCGAGGCUCAACCUCGAGACGCCGAUGGAAACCCUCAGACUAGAGUCCGGAAGAGGAGAGUGGAAUUCCUGGUGUAGCGGUGAAAUGCGCAGAUAUCAGGAAGAACACCCGUGGCUAAGGCGGCUCUCUAGUACGUGACUGACGCUGAGACGCGAAAGCGUGGGGAGCGAACCCG
rnacentral:rRNA from 1 species